CAAGAAGCAAACCAUUUGGGCACAAGACAACUGGGAUCUGGAUAUUGUUGGCUUUGACACUCAAGUGCCUAUGACAUGAUUUCAGAAAAUGACAUCUUCAGCUGCCCAUCCGCACAGAUAUACAUUACUACACGCCAGCCUACUUGCUGCUCCCUGGCUUCCUGACUUCCUGAAAACCAAAAUGUGACAGUGAAUUUUCCCAUUAGAUUGAUGUGGGCCCCCAAAUGGAAUGCAUCACAAUAAAAGACACAACAUGCUCCCCUCUCAGAGUGUUCCUGUUACUGCCAAGGCAUGUAUCUGAGACCAUCUAAGGUUACCACAGAAGAGAUGAGGACUGCUAAGUACAGAGCCUUUCAAGGAUCCUGCAAUCCAAGUGGCAUAUAGAACCCAUGAAGUAGGACUUUGCCUAGUAAUUUUAGCGGUCAAUGAUAUUUCUUUCACCUGGGACAGGAAAAGAUCAUUAUUCAUUAGGGUCAUCUUCAAGCAAGGGCACGCAGCUGAAUAAAAAUGCAACACAGUCCUCCAAUGAGAAUCCCACCUGAUCUGUGCAAAUCUGGAUCUAGGCUCUUUGUUCCUGCAACUGGUUUUAGCAGCUUUAAACACAGUUAUUCUAGUACUGAACAAGUCUGUCGUGUAUCCCUAUGUCUGGUUACAGUGUAAUAUAAUAUAUUCAAAAUGACUAGGGAUAGGCAAAUUUUUUCUCCGAAAUGACGCCCAUAGACUUC